CCUACGGGAGGCAGCAGUGGGGAAUUUUGGACAAUGGGGGGCAACCCUGAUCCAGCAAUGCCGCGUGAGUGAAGAAGGCCUUCGGGUUGUAAAGCUCUUUUGUCAGGGAAGAAACGGUUCUGGCUAAUAUCCGGAGCUAAUGACGGUACCUGAAGAAUAAGCACCGGCUAACUACGUGCCAGCAGCCGCGGUAAUACGUAGGGUGCGAGCGUUAAUCGGAAUUACUGGGCGUAAAGCGUGCGCAGGCGGUUGUGCAAGACAGAUGUGAAAUCCCCGGGCUCAACCUGGGAAUUGCAUUUGUGACUGCACGGCUAGAGUGUGUCAGAGGGGGGUAGAAUUCCACGUGUGGCAGUGAAAUGCGUAGAGAUGUGGAGGAAUACCGAUGGCGAAGGCAGCCCCCUGGGGAUAACACUGACGCUCAUGCACGAAAGCGUGGGGAGCAAACAGGAUUAGAUACCCUGGUAGUCCACGCCCUAAACGAUGUCAACUAGUUNUCGGGUCUUAAUUGACUUGGUAACGCAGCUAACGCGUGAAGUUGACCGCCUGGGGAGUACGGUCGCAAGNUUAAAACGUCAAAGGAAUUGACGG
rnacentral:rRNA from 1 species